AUGUGGGGUGAUGCAGGGAGCAGCAAGGCGUCGCUAUGGGUCCUGGAUGGCAGCGGAGCAUCUGCUGGCAAGCGGCUGCGGGCAAGAGCACGAUGGGUCCUGGUCCUGGAGCUUGACGGCAUUCAGAGGUGGGUGGCGCGGGUGAGGGCUCCAUGGGAAGCUGAUGGAGGUGCGAACGGAGAAGAGAAAGGGAGGUCGGGCGUUGCAGCGGACCGAGACGGCGGCGCGAGCGGGGGAUGCGGUGUUGCUGGCAGGGGAGGCAUGGCCUCGCCGGAGUCAGCGAGGCUUCGCGGCAGGGGCAUCGGGCGCGGAGGAAGAUGGGGAGCGAAGCGUUGA
rnacentral:rRNA from 1 species